rnacentral:rRNA from 1 species
UGGGGAAUAUUGCACAAUGGGGGAAACCCUGAUGCAGCGACGCCGCGUGAGCGAAGAAGGUUUUCGAAUCGUAAAGCUCUGUCCUAUGAGAAGAUAAUGACGGUAUCAUAGGAGGAAGCCCCGGCUAAAUACGUGCCAGCAGCCGCGGUAAUACGUAUGGGGCGAGCGUUGUCCGGAAUUAUUGGGCGUAAAGGGUACGUAGGCGGUCUAUUAAGUCAGGUGUGAAAGCGUGAGGCUUAACCUCAUUAAGCACUUGAAACUGAUAGACUUGAGUGAAGGAGAGGAAAGUGGAGUUCCUAGUGUAGCGGUGAGAUGCGUAGAUAUUAGGAGGAAUACCGGUGGCGAAGGCGACUUUCUGGACUUUUACUGACGCUCAGGUACGAAAGCGUGGGGAGCAAACAGG